GAUGAACGCUGGCGGCGUGCUUAACACAUGCAAGUCGAACGGGAAAUCUUUCCUUGAGACUUCUGUGGAUUUGAUUUAUUUCUAGUGGCGGACGGGUGAGUAACGCGUGGGUAACCUGCCUUAUACAGGGGGAUAACAGUCAGCAAUGGCUGCUCUUACCCCAUAAGCGCACAGAGCUGCAUGUCUCAGUGUUAAAAACUCCGUUGGUAUAAGAUGGAGCCGCGUUGGAUUAGCUAGUUGGUGGGGUAACGGCGCACCAAGGCGCCGAUCCAUGGCCGGGCGGAGAGGGUGAACGGCCACAUUGGGAAUGAGACACAGCCCAGACUCCUACGGGAGGCAGCAGUGGGGAAUAUAGCACAAUGGGGGAAACCCUGAUGCAGCGACGCCGCGUGAAGGAAGAAGUAUCUCGGUAUGUAAACUUCUAUCAGCAGGGAAGAUAGUGACGGUACCUGACUAAGAAGCCCCGGCUAACUACGUG
rnacentral:rRNA from 1 species